rnacentral:rRNA from 1 species
AGUGAACGCUGGCGGUAGGCCUAACACAUGCAAGUCGAACGGCAGCACAGUAAGAGCUUGCUCUUACGGGUGGCGAGUGGCGGACGGGUGAGGAAUACAUCGGCAUCUACUUUUUCGUGGGGGAUAACGUAGGGACACUUACGCUAAUACCGCAUACGACCUACGGGUGAAAGCAGGGGAUCUUCGGACCUUGCGCGAUUGAAUGAGCCGACGUCGGAUUAGCUAGUUGGGGGGGUAAAGGCACACCAAGGCGACGAUCCGUAGCUGGUCUGAGAGGAUGAUCAGCCACACUGGAACUGAGACACGGUCCAGACUCCUACGGGAGGCAGCAGUGGGGAAUAUUGGACAAUGGGCGCAAGCCUGAUCCAGCCAUACCGCGUGGGUGAAGAAGGCCUUCGGGUUGUAAGGCCCUUUUGUUGGGAAAGAAAAGCAGCAGGUUAAUACCCCGCUGUUCUGACGGUACCCAAAGAAUAAGCACCGGCUAACUUCGUG